rnacentral:misc_RNA from 1 species
GAUGAAGAACGUAGCGAAAUGCGAUACGUAGUGUGAAUUGCAGAAUUCAGUGAAUCAUCGAAUCUUUGAACGCACAUUGCGCCCCUUGGUAUUCCGAGGGGCAUGCCUGUUCGAGCGUCAUUAUAACCCCUCAAGCUCAGCUUGGUGUUGGGGCCUGCCGCACGGGCAGCCCUUAAAAUCAGUGGCGGUGCCAUCUGGCUCUAAGCGUAGUAAUUCUUCUCGCUAUAGAGUUCCGGUGGAUGCUUGCCAUUAACCCCCAAUUUUCUAUGGUUGACCUCGGAUCAGGUAGGGAUACCCGCUGAACUUAAGCAUAUCAAUAAGCGGAGGA